AUCAUGAGUUCACAUGUCCGCAUGAUUAAAGGUAUUUUCCGGUAGACGAUGGGGAUGCGUUCCAUUAGAUAGUAGGCGGGGUAACGGCCCACCUAGUCAACGAUGGAUAGGGGUUCUGGGAGGAAGGUCCCCCACAUUGGAACUGAGACACGGUCCAAACUCCUACGGGAGGCAGCAGUGAGGAAUAUUGGUCAAUGGGCGAUGGCCUGAACCAGCCAAGUAGCGUGAAGGAUGACUGCCCUAUGGGUUGUAAACUUCUUUUAUAAAGGAAUAAAGUCGGGUAUGCAUACCCGUUUGCAUGUACUUUAUGAAUAAGGAUCGGCUAACUCCGUGCCAGCAGCCGCGGUAAUACGGAGGAUCCGAGCGUUAUCCGGAUUUAUUGGGUUUAAAGGGAGCGUAGAUGGAUGUUUAAGUCAGUUGUGAAAGUUUGCGGCUCAACCGUAAAAUUGCAGUUGAUACUGGAUGUCUUGAGUGCAGUUGAGGCAGGCGGAAUUCGUGGUGUAGCGGUGAAAUGCUUAGAUAUCACGAAGAACUCCGAUUG
rnacentral:rRNA from 1 species